AACGCGAAACCCUCCUUCGGGAGGGGAGUAGAGUGGCGCACGGGUGAGUAACACGUAGGUAAUUUGCCUUCGGGUGGGGAAUAACAGCCGGAAACGGCUGCUAAUACCGCAUAAUGCAGCGGCUCGACAUCGAGACAGUUGUUAAAGCGGGGGAUUCGCAAGAACCUCGCGCCUGAAGAGAAGCCUGCGGCAGAUUAGCUAGUUGGUAGGGUAACGGCCUACCAAGGCGACGAUCCGUAGCCGGCCUGAGAGGGCGGACGGCCACACUGGCACUGACAUACGGGCCAGACUCCUACGGGAGGCAGCAGUCGGGAAUUUUGGGCAAUGGGCGAAAGCCUGACCCAGCAACGCCGCGUGAAGGAUGAAGCUUUUCGGAGUGUAAACUUCAUAAGAAUGGGACGAAUAAGGAGGGGUUAACACCCCCUUUGAUGACGGUACCAUUUGUAAGCUCCGGCUAACUCCGUGCCAGCAGCCGCGGUAAUACGGGGGGAGCAAGCGUUGUUCGGAUUUACUGGGCGUAAAGGGCGCGUAGGCGGCGCAACAAGUCACUUGUGAAAUCUCCGGGCUUAACCCGGAGCGGCCAAGUGAUACUGUCGUGCUAGAGUGCGGAAGGGGCUACUGGAAUUCUCGGUGUAGCGGUGAAAUGCGUAGAUAUCGAGAGGAACACCUGCGGCGAAGGCGGGUAGCUGGGCCGACACUGACGCUGAGGCGCGAAAGCCAGGGGAGCGAACGGGAUUAGAUACCCCGGUAGUCCUGGCCUUAA
rnacentral:rRNA from 1 species